ACCUCGCGUGAGGGAUAGAAGCGAAAAGCCCGGAGCGUGGACGGGUUUGUGCGGCUAGGGUGAGGACUUGUAGCAGAUAGCCCGACCCGUA
rnacentral:misc_RNA from 1 species